AUUGAACGCUGGCGGCAUGCCUUACACAUGCAAGUCGAACGGUAACAGGUCUUCGGAUGCUGACGAGUGGCGAACGGGUGAGUAAUACAUCGGAACGUGCCUAGUAGUGGGGGAUAACUACUCGAAAGAGUGGCUAAUACCGCAUGAGAUUUACGGAUGAAAGCAGGGGAUCGCAAGACCUUGUGCUACUAUAGCGGCCGAUGGCAGAUUAGGUAGUUGGUGGGAUAAAAGCUUACUAAGCCGACGAUCUGUAGCUGGUCUGAGAGGACGAUCAGCCACACUGGGACUGAGACACGGCCCAGACUCCUACAGGAGGCAGCAGUGGGGAAUUUUGGACAAUGGGCGCAAGCCUGAUCCAGCAAUGCCGCGUGCAGGAUGAAGGCCUUCGGGUUGUAAACUGCUUUUGUACGGAACGAAAAGCCCUGGGUUAAUACCCUGGGGUCAUGACGGUACCGUAAGAGUAAGCACCGGCUAACUACGUGCCAGCCGCCGCGGUAACAC
rnacentral:rRNA from 1 species